rnacentral:rRNA from 1 species
GGGUUGCCCCUCCCGCAUAUUCUACACCCAUCAAGUCGUUCCACAGUAACAGACUAGAGUCAAGCUCAACAGGGCUUCUUUCCCCGCUGAUUCUUCCAAGCCCGUUCCCUUGGCUGUGGCUUCGCUAGACAGUAGAUAGGGACAGUGGGAAUCUCACGAAUCCAUUCAUGCGCGUCACUAAUUGGAUGACGAGGCAUUUGGCUACCUUAAGAGAGUCAUAGUUACUCCCGCCGUUUACCCGCGCUUGGUUGAAUUUCUUCACUUUGACAUUCAGAGCACUGGGCAGAAAUCACAUUGCGUCAGCACCCUCGCGGGCCAUCGCAAUGCUUUGUUUUAAUUAAACAGUCGGAUUCCCCUUGUCCGCGCCAGUUCUGAAGCGGCUGUUCGUCGCGCAGGGAGAGCCGGAGCGCUCCUAGGCCGUCCGCCGGACGGCCGCGCGGGAUCCGCAGCCGUGAGGCCGUAGUCCCCGCGCAGCCAGCCGGCCUCGAGCCUAGGACCCCUGCGCCCAGCCUUCAGAGCCAUUCCUUCUCCCGAGGUUGCGGAACCAUUUUGCCGACUUCCCUUACCUACAUUGCUCUAUCGACUAGAGGCUGUUCACCUUGGAGACCUGAUGCGGUUAUGAGUACGACCAGGCGUGAGAACGAACCGCUCCCCCGGAUUUUCACGGGCCGUCGGGAGCGCGCCGGACACCCCAAGACUUAGGGUGCUUUGCCUGCCGUGUAGCCCUCGCUCCGGCUAAACCGAUUCCAGGGCAGGAGGCAGUUAAGAAGAAAAGAGAACUCUUCCCAGGGCUCCCGCCGGCGUCUCCGGGUUCGUUCGCGUCGCCGCCCACCAUCCACGCGCUGGCUCGGGAAUAUUAACCCGAUUCCCUUUCGACGGACGGGCUGACAGAACCAGCCGCGUUCGGCGGAGUUUUCCUGUCUCUUAGGGUCGGCUCACCCGUGUCCAACUGCUGUUCACACGGAACCUUUCUCCACUUCAGUCUUCAAAGUUCUCAUUUGAAUAUUUGCUACUACCACCAAGAUCUGCACCGGGGCCCGCUUCACCCAGGCUCGCGCCCAAGGCUGCGCCGCGAGCCCCGCGCCCUCCUACUCGCCGGCGCCUCGCGCUCGCGCCGGCGGCCGCGCAUCGGUGGUCCGCUUGAGCGCCAUCCACCCAUCCUGGCAACCAUCCUCCGCCCGUCGUCCACGUCCACCUCAUCCCCGCUCGGCCGCGCGCUGCGGAUGCGCGGCUCGCGCCCGCCGAAGAAGCCUCGGGCCAGCGCUGCGGAGAGCUCGACGCUCGCUCGCGCUCCUCCGCUGCUCCGUGUUUGCUCCUACAACGUGCUCGCGCAGACGCACCUCGAGACGCACAGCCACCUCUACCGCGGCGCGCCGCCCGACGCGCUCGACGGGCCGACGCGGCUCGCGCGGCUCAUCUCUCAGCUCGCCGGCCUGGGAGCGGAUGUGCUCGCGCUGCAGGAGGUGGAGCCGCCUGUCUUUGCCGCGCUCAGCCAGGCGCUCGGCGCGUACGGCGUGCGCGGCGUGUACAAGCAGCGCACCGGCGCCGGCCAGCCCGACGGCGUGGCGGUCUUCCUCCGCACGCCGCGGCUGCAGCUGCUGUGCGUCGAGGAGGUCGAGUUUGCGGCGCUGGCGAAGCGGGAACCCGACCUCGUUGUGCCCCCGCCGAGCGCCGAGCUCGCGCUGCGGCUGCGCAGGCAGGCGGACAAGGGCCAGGUCGCCCUCCUCGUGACCGUCCUCGACACACAGAGCGGCGCCCGCCUCGUCGUCGGCUGCACCCACAUCUUGUUCAACCCGAGCCGUGGCGCGGUCAAGCUCGGCCAGGUGCGAGAGCUCGUCACGAGGGCGCAGAGGGGCGCUGCGGCGGCGGGCGCGGGCGUCGUGAUCUGCGGCGACUUCAACUGCUCGCCGACGUCGCUGCUCCGCUCCUACCUGGGCGGCUCGCCGGUCGACGCGCCGCUGAGCGAGGAGGAGCUCUGGGACGGGUCGGCAAGCCUCAAGUGG